rnacentral:tRNA from 6 species
GGGCCGGUAGCUCAGUCAGGUAGAGCGACGGACUCUUAAUCCGUCGGUCGGGGGUUCAACUCCCUCCCGGCCCG